CAGAAGGUGAUUCCAAGUGCUCCUGCUAGCUUUUCAGAGGUAGAACAACAAGGUGGGAGAGAACACAUGCAUGGAGGGAAUAGUGAGGAAAUCCCUUCUGAAGUUUAUUAACUUGACUCCUUUGGGUCUACUGGAAAAAGAAGUGAUGCCUUGCGUUGGUUACAGUGCGGUAACCAGUAGACCAGAGCCUUUUCUGUGUAAAGUGGUGAACAUUCAAAGACCUACCACAUGAAGUCCCAGUCCUGCAAUCAGACAUGCGGGGAGAGCUUCCCAUGUGUCCAGAAGCCCACUGCAGCCAACAGAAACAUAAAAGAUCACUUUGGAAGUGUUCUUGGAGCAGGAAUUCUGCAGAGAGUGUGCAAAGAGGUUGGCGUAGGACAGCAAGAAGCCUCAGGCAGAGGUGUCCUCCCAGGCAUAUGCCAGUGCGGUCAGGAAGAGCCCUGCUUCUCUUGGUUGUAGCAGCAGCAACUCACAGCAACAGUUAAGUUUACAAGCUUCCUCAAGUGCCUGGCCUGAAGCUGAACUCCAGGAUCAUCUCACAGUGUUCUGGUGUCGGUGGUCACCUGGGGGCUAGAAAGCCUGGGGAGCAAAUGAAGAAUAAGAUGGCUAGCAUGUGUGAGUGACUGCAGAGGAGACCAAAGGAGGAGGGUAGAGAGCUGGAUUAAGUGCUGCCUGUUACCUUGAAAAGCCUCAGAAGGGAACGGUUGCAAGGAUUAAAAAUUAAUGUGAUUAUUUUAACAAAUCAUGUUGAG